AGUUCGUUCUUGUGACGACGACAGAUAUGGCCGAAAAUACUUUAACUGCACUCACAUUGUGUAAAUAACACACACGUAUCGGCACAUCCGCCGGGGUGCCUCGGGUGACAUCGUCAUGCUGGGGUCGGCGUUAUGGGAUACGUGGAGGCAUAACC
rnacentral:sRNA from 1 species